GUUUCAGAAUUGAUUUACGUUCGUCACUCUGGAAACUGUUUUUGCUUUUUUUUCUCGUUUUUUUUUUAAAGUUAGAAAAUGAGUUUAUUUAGUGCUCUUUUUUCUCUAAAUUAAUUUCAUUGCAUUUUGUUUUGAAUCUCCUAAUGUUUCUUUCGUUAGUUAUAUAGUUAGCUCUUUUAAAAUGUUAGUUCAUUCUGAUUAGUGUUUUUUUUAUCUCUUUAAUGGUCUAGAAACGAGUGGUGUUUUUUUUUAUCUACUAAUUUUAAUCUUUUUUCUUGCGAACUCUUAUUUUCUUAAGUAAUGUUCCGUCUUGUCAAAGGGUCAAAAUCAUUCUUAUCGAUAUAUUUGUACUUUGUUUUUUCCAUCAUUAUUUUCUUUUUACUAAUUCAGACACGACCCCCUCUCCGUUUUUUUGUCUAUACGAAUUUUAUUGUUCUUUAAAUUUCUCUCGUAAUGUUGAAUUUGUCAAAGUGUCAAAGUUUAUUACGUCAUUCCCUCUGGUUGGCGCAUUCGCACUCUGUUUACGGUGGAUGUCACGAGUAGGAGAACCUUUUGUAACACCCACGAGAACCGCUUUAUACUGCCAGAGACGCUUCAGGGCCACCGUUGCCAGAUUAUCGUACUCAGAGCAUAGUAUUACCGGUUUCUGACACCUAACUAUCGCCAAGAAACAUCAGGAUCUAACUCUUUUAACGAUAACUAUAAAUGAGUUUCGUUAUUAGAGCCCAGAAGACAGUUUUGGGGUAGGAAGUCGGGAAAUAUAAGCGGCUGAGUACGACAAUCUGGCAACGUUGCUCAGGGCCGGUGCCACAGUCCAACACGGAGACAAUGUAAGCGCACUAACCUAACCAGACUCGGGUUUUGCACUCACCACCACCGUUGCCAGAUUAUCGUACUCAGAGCCGUGUAUUUACCGGUUUCUUGCCCAUAAUUGUUGUCAAGAAGCACCAAUAAUUAACCAUUUAAACGAUAACCAUAUAUGAAGGCAGUUAUUCGGGGGAUGAAAGCAGUUUUUGGGUCGGAAAUCGGCAAACAUAAGAGGCAGAGUACGACAAUCUAGCAACGUUACGAAUCAUCACCCGAUACUAAAGAGAUUUCCUGUAUAGUUUCCUCAAAGUUCUUAGCUUCACAAUGGCCAUCAAACACUAGACAAUAAAUUUUCCUAGUCUUUGGUAUAUGGUUUGGAAGCGUAGAAACAAUGCCCACCCAAAACAUUAGGGUCUUGUUACUAUUGAGAUUUCCUACAUAGUAAAAAGCAAACAGUAUGCAAGAGGUUUUCGCAGGCUUUGUUAAUUGUUUUGGGAGCUUAUCAAAAACUACAUAAGAAAUUAUCGUGUUCUUUUGUGCUUGGUUAGUGUUACCGCCGCUCGUGAAAGGUGCAAACAUGGGAGUAGUAGUGAAGUUUGGGGACAGCAGUAGGCUAUUGGGUGUGGCGGAAAAGUUAGGGAGCGUUCAAACCAUACACUAUACUAUACUUAUUUCGUAGUCUUUGGUUAGGGAACAUAUACAACCAAGUACUGUAAUAAUUUCUAGUGUUCUUUCGUAUUUGUUUAGGGAAUGAUGUAACCAUACACUAUAAAUAAGAAAUCUACUGGGCUUUAAUAUUUGGUUAGGGAUCUCACCAACCAUUAUAUUGGAGAAAUACUCGUGUUCUUUCGUAUCUAGUUUGGGAACGUAAAAAUCACACACUAUACAAGAUAUUUCCUACUCUUUUAUUUUUAUUUUUUUUUGUGCAGUAGAGGAAACAGUUAAAAGAUAAAACAAGAACAAAACAGGUAUAAAAAACAUGCUAUAAACAAGGCCAUUAGCAACUCCUAUUUAUGUUUACUUAUUUAACUUUUGGAUAUAUUGGGAAUCCUUGGACUUGUAGUAGGGGAAGUAGUCUGAUUAGUAUAAAAAAAACUCGCUCAUGAUAAGGUUAGGGAGUGCACAAACAAACGCGCUGUGUCGAACUGUGGAACUGGCCUUAAGACAGCGUGAAUUAUCCUAUCCUUACUUAUUAUGAUGAAAAGUGUUGGUCCUGACGUGAGGGGAACAUGCUAUUGACGAGGCCAUUAUCAACUCCUAUUCAUGUUUACUUAUUUAACGUUUGCAUACAUUGGGUUUCCUUGGACUUGUGGCAGAGGUUAAAAAUAUAUUGUUACUCUGAUUAAAAAGCGAUAUCAAAAAGGAAUGACUGGAAAAAUAGUUAAAAUAAGUCAAUAUAUAGUUACUUAUUCGCCUUCACCGAUCCUAGGCUACGAUGAUGUUAACUUUUCGGUAAUGUUUAAACCUCAAGUGACUAGAGUUCAAUUACAUAGCUAUUGUGUCUAUGUAAUUAGAGAUCGAGUUAUGUCAAUGGUGUGAGUCCACGUCCUCGCCAUCUUGCCUCACCCAUCCUACUGACUGUUUUUACAUGUGUUUAUACUAAGACCCUGAGGCAACAACGACGCCAUCUUGCCCUGUCCAACGUGUUGUAUGUGUUUGUGCCUUCCUGAAACAACUGACCACGCAAUCUUGCCUUACUCAGUGUCGUGUUGAUGAUGACGUAGUGCCGAGGCCAUGAGUACGCCAUCUUGCCUCACCAUCUUAUGUUUUGAUGAAUAUUUACGUGUUGAGGCCAUUAGGACGCCAUCUUGCCUCUUGAUGUUUCACUUAUGAUGUCCAUAUUUACGUAUUGAGGCCAUAAAGACGCCAUUUUGCCUCACUGUGUUGUGUUUCGGAUGAUUAUUUACGUGUUAAGGCUAUUAGAACACCAUCUUGUCUUUCUAUGUUGGUUAUGAUGACCUUAUUUACGUGUUGAGGCCAUAAAGACGCCAUCUUGCCUCUAUUUGUGUUUAUGAUGACUGUAUUUACGUGUUGAUUCCGUGAGGACGCCAUCUUGCCUCACUAAGUUAUCUUGAGGCUAUUAUGACGCCAUCUUGCCUCUAUGUUGUGUUUAAGAUGACUAUACUUAUAUGUUGAGGCAUUGACGACACCAUAUUGCCCCACCUACGAAGCUAUGCGUGUAUGUGCCUUCUCUAUACUGCUGGGCUGAGGCAAUGAGUACGCCAUCUUGCCACGCCCACUGUAUGGUCAACCUGUACACAUUAUUUUGAGUCCGGCGUUACGUAGUGUUGCUUCCUCUGUUUCCUGUCUGUGUAGUGUUAGUCAGCGUUAGAUCAGUCCCUCUGGCGCCCCCUGUGAGGACCUAGCGGAAACUCCUUUGUUGUAUGCUCUGUUCACGCUAACUAGGCGAAUAAGCUCCACCCCUUUUCCCAUAUUCAUUGUAAUUCUUCUAUUAUUCCCUUGUAUUAUUUUUUGUCUGUUAUUCCUCGUUUAUUCCUCUAACUUUACUUUCCCCCAUUCACUGUAAACCUAUUAUUCUUAUAUAUUUUUUUCUUCUUCGUUUAUUUCCUUAACUUCUUUAUUCCUUGUUUUCCUAUUUAGUUUCUUUCGUUAUCUUUAUUAUUGAGUGCUAUUUUUUUUUAUCAUUACUACUACUAUUACUGCUACUACAACUACGACUACUACUACUACUACUACUACUACUAUUUUGCUGGUUCUUGCUGUUCUUCAGUUUUCUGUUCUCCUUUUCUUUUUGUUCUUCCCAUCUUCUUUUUCUUCUUCUCCAUUUUCCAUUUUCUUCUUUUUGUUCAUCCACAUUUUUUCUUCUUUCUCGUUCACCUUUUUAUCUUUAUUUACUUCCUCUUCAUUUUUAUUUUCUUUUUCAUCGUCCUCUAUUGGAUGCUGCUAAAGGUUGAAUCCUAUUGGUGGUUCUUGGUUGGCGUGGGCGGGGCUUAUUCUCGACGUUAACGUGAACAGAGUGUAACAACUGUCCUCGGGUUCGAAUCCUGCCCGAAGCGAGCGGCAGACGGUGCUCAGUUAACCAGCUUUCCCUCCCUGGCUUCCUCCCUUACCCGCUUUCCUUCCUUCCCUCCUCGCGAAUAGUGCAACGGCUGCUCAGUGUUACAAACAUGCUUCCAAAUUUGUACAAGAAUGUCUAUUUUUGGGAAAUAAACUUGCAACGGCUU